GACAGAGGGGGCAAGCGUUGCUCGGAAUCACUGGGCGUAAAGGGCGCGUAGGCGGGAUGGCAAGUCAGUCGUGAAAUCUCUCGGCUCAACCGAGGAACGUCGGCUGAUACUGCCGUUCUUGAGGGAUGCAGAGGAGACUGGAAUUCCCGGUGUAGCGGUGAAAUGUGUAGAGAUCGGGAGGAACACCGGUGGCGAAGGCGGGUCUCUGGGCAUCUCCUGACGCUGAGGCGCGAAAGCGUGGGGAGCAAACGGG
rnacentral:rRNA from 1 species